rnacentral:lncRNA from 7 species
AAAUGUAUUUCCCAAAACAAAGUGGAGGAAAAAAAUUGGAAUUAUUCAGAAUUUUCUUCAAGCAAAGGCUGAGACAUUUUUCUCAAAAGCUGAUGACUUUCUGUCAUCAGGAGUGCUCCCAUUAGUUAUUAAGAUUAAUGGAUCAUUAACAUGGUCCCAUAUUAGUAAAAUUACAGAUACUUCAGUGCUUCUCAAAUGAGGAAAAGGUUCUGAAAAAACUUUAAUGUUCUUAGACCUUACCAUUAAUAACAGCACUUAAACAAGAUUAGUGCAGGCUUUGAGCUGUUUACCAGUCAAUUAAGAUUAUGGCAGCGUUUGAAUUGAUAGUAACCAUCUCUAAACGACUUGCUAUGAGCAAAGAUUUAUCUUUUCAAAAGAUAAAGAUAGCAGCUUUGUUUUUCUCCUUUACCUUAGAAUAGCACUACCCAACCAGGAAUUAACUCAGGAAUGCCUGAUCUAAAUAUGCACUUUGUCAUCACUGCUAAAAAUGAUUGACCAUUAUUUACCAUGCAGUAGUUAUUGUUGGUGAGCUACCUCAUUCUAAAUUCCUGCAGAUGAUCAAAUACUCGGGUACUCCUAGGCUCAGAUGGUGGCUGAAUUUGCAUAAAUAAGGUCACAUGAAAAACACAUGCUCACCUCUCUAGGAUUUGAUAUCACAGUUGCAGCUACCAGUGAAAAGCUUUCCCAGGCUGCUCUUUUGGAGACCGUCAUAUGUGAAAACAGCUGAAUAACAAAGGCUUGUGUUACGAAAGAGAUGAAUAAGAUUAUUCUGGCAGUAUACAUGCUCAGUGACGUAUCGCGAUUCCAGCUGCGUGUUGCAGUUGGUUGUUGGUAAGCAGAAGGAAUGACUCAGCAAGAAACAAUGAAUUUAUAAUCAAAAGCAGUUGCAUUGCAGCUAUCAGUAACUUUACAGUAUGUAAGUCUAGUUCGGAAGUUUUUUUUUCAGGUGGGGAAUUAGCUCAAAUGGUAGAGCGCUCGCUUAGCAUGCGAGAGGUAGCGGGAUCGAUGCCCGCAUUCUCCAGUGUUUGUUUUCACUGUUUAUUCAUCGUGAAAUAAAAAGUGGUGAAAACGUUCCCUGUUUGUACCUCUACGUGAGAAAAAAUAAAUGUGAAAGACUUUGGGUGAAUUGUAAACCGAACACGUUCACGUGUUGCUUUCAGGAUUUGGUUUUGCUUUUCCUAAUGGUAUGGCUUCCUUUUGUGUUCGAGGGGGAAUACAAUCCUUAUUGGAAAGAACAAAACACUGACAAUUUAAUACAGUGGUAAACGACAUGAACAAAUUACAGAGAAAAUAAAUUAGGGAUUUUUAAUGUACCUUGAUAAAUGAGCUACGCUGUUCCAUAUGUUGUUUCUCCUAGCAAGAUUAUGUCCUUUCCUUUUGAAGCUUCACAUCUGUGCAAUACCAUGGAUAUUUUCUCUGUAAAACUAUGCUGCACAUUUUAUGUCAUUUUGAGAUAUUUUUAAUUCUGAUGUGAUUUUCUGACUCGCUGCUUGUACUCCAACCGUUUCACUGCUUGUACUCCAAGCUUGAGGAAGCAUGAGGAAACAGAGCAAAACUUUCCUGUAAAUAUAGACAGUUUGUGCAAUCAGAAUCUUGGGAGUACGCAUACUGAAAUGAAUGAAAAUACGGAAACAAAAUUAUGAAUUGGGGUUCAAUUUAAGGAAGGGGGAGAUACUGUGCUGCAUGGAUGUUCAAGAGACAAGAGAAGAAAGAACUUAACUUCUCGAUGGAUGGAACAGAAACAGAAUUUGCUUGUUUGUCUUAUAUUCUUUACAUAGUGGAGCAAAAAGAUGCAUUGUAACUUUAAAGCUGGUAGAUCAUUGUAGUUCAAAUGAGGUUCACUGGAGAGAAAAGUGUUAUGAUCUUCAGGAGUCCUUUCUGAGCUCAGGUAAUGAUUUACAUGUACAUUUGCUUGGAAUAAGAUUCUGUAGUAGUUUUCUAUAUGAUUAUUAUUGCUUCUGAGUUUGCUGUGUUGCCAUGAUUGUUUAAUACCUGAUGCUGCUUCUGCUUUUAAAGAGGAUGCACAGUGUUGCUCUUCUCAGCUAAUCAGACACAACCUGUACAAUGAAAUGAGAAAAUUCAGUGAGGCAGGUGCAGUCUGCAGUCACCUGUAGAAUGGUGGCAUCUAACUAAAUUCUCCAGACUAAUCACUGCCCAUUAUAUUUAUGUACAGCUCCCCAUAAUGGAGCUUUGGUGUCUGUUAGAGCUUGUAAAAUCACUGCGUUAUGACUAGAAGUAACAGCUUUUUCUUAGCCCGUGUGGUGUUCCGUGUCCUUACUUUUUAGACAUGUUGGCUUUUGAAGAACAGGCUGAAUAGAGAGGCUAAGGGUCCUAGCUCCCCAAAGCACUACUCGUGGGAGUAUUUGCACUUUCUGCAUCAGUAACUGUAUUUACAUAUUACAUAUUAUACAGUGUAAAUAAAUGAGGGAAU